AAGGCAUCACUUAAUCACUCAUAUUCUCUAUUGCUUAACCUUGAUUGCCCUCUCUCGCGAUCGUACAAAGAAAAUCGAAAGAAUAUAAGGCAAUUGAGACCUAUAACAGGAAUCUACAAUUUUCUCCAAUAUCUAUUGCUUCAUCAGUUCCUGUGCUCAAUCCAGCUUCAUCAGUCUUCGUCGUAGCUGAUUUUACAAGGUGGGCAAAAAUUAGAG